AGAGUUGGGUUUGGACGUCCCG
rnacentral:miRNA from 1 species